rnacentral:rRNA from 1 species
GGGAGCAAACAGGAUUAGAUACCCUGGUAGUCCACGCCGUAAACGAUGUCUACUUGGAGGUUGUGCCCUUGAGGCGUGGCUUCCGGAGCUAACGCGUUAAGUAGACCGCCUGGGGAGUACGGCCGCAAGGUUAAAACUCAAAUGAAUUGACGGGGGCCCGCACAAGCGGUGGAGCAUGUGGUUUAAUUCGAUGCAACGCGAAGAACCUUACCUGGUCUUGACAUCCACAGAACUUUCCAGAGAUGGAUUGGUGCCUUCGGGAACUGUGAGACAGGUGCUGCAUGGCUGUCGUCAGCUCGUGUUGUGAAAUGUUGGGUUAAGUCCCGCAACGAGCGCAACCCUUAUCCUUUGUUGCCAGCGGUCCGGCCGGGAACUCAAAGGAGACUGCCAGUGAUAAACUGGAGGAAGGUGGGGAUGACGUCAAGUCAUCAUGGCCCUUACGACCAGGGCUACACACGUGCUACAAUGGCGCAUACAAAGAGAAGCGACCUCGCGAGAGCGAGAG